UUCGUAGGCGGUGUGGCAAGUUGGGAGUGAAAUCUCUGGGCUCAACCCAGAGGCUGCUUCCAAAACUGCUGUGCUUGAGUGUGAGAGAGGCUCGUGGAAUUGCAGGUGUAGCGGUGAAAUGCGUAGAUAUCUGCAGGAACACCCGUGGCGAAAGCGGCGAGCUGGAUCACUACUGACGCUGAAGAACGAAAGCUAGGGGAGCAAACAGGAUUAGAUACCCUGGUAGUCCUAGCCCUAAACGAUCAGGACUUGGGGUGCCGCCCGUUCGGGCGUCGUCCCGGAGCUAACGCGUUAAGUCCUGCACCUGGGGAGUACGGUCGCAAGACUGAA
rnacentral:rRNA from 1 species